UAGAGUUUGAUCAUGGCUCAGAGCGAACGCUGGCGGCAGGCUUAACACAUGCAAGUCGAGCGGGCGUAGCAAUACGUCAGCGGCAGACGGGUGAGUAACGCGUGGGAACGUACCUUUUGGUUCGGAACAACACAGGGAAACUUGUGCUAAUACCGGAUAAGCCCUUACGGGGAAAGAUUUAUCGCCGAAAGAUCGGCCCGCGUCUGAUUAGCUAGUUGGUGAGGUAAUGGCUCACCAAGGCGACGAUCAGUAGCUGGUCUGAGAGGAUGAUCAGCCACAUUGGGACUGAGACACGGCCCAAACUCCUACGGGAGGCAGCAGUGGGGAAUAUUGGACAAUGGGCGCAAGCCUGAUCCAGCCAUGCCGCGUGAGUGAUGAAGGCCCUAGGGUUGUAAAGCUCUUUUGUGCGGGAAGAUAAUGACGGUACCGCAAGAAUAAGCCCCGGCUAACUUCGUGCCAGCAGCCGCGGUAAUGCCCA
rnacentral:rRNA from 1 species